rnacentral:rRNA from 1 species
GACGAACGCUGGCGGCGUGCUUAACACAUGCAAGUCGAACGGAAAGGCCCUGCUUUUGUGGGGUGCUCGAGUGGCGAACGGGUGAGUAACACGUGAGUAACCUACCCUUGACUUUGGGAUAACUUCAGGAAACUGGGGCUAAUACCGGAUAGGAGCUCCUGCUGCAUGGUGGGGGUUGGAAAGUUUCGGCGGUUGGGGAUGGACUCGCGGCUUAUCAGCUUGUUGGUGGGGUAGUGGCUUACCAAGGCUUUGACGGGUAGCCGGCCUGAGAGGGUGACCGGCCACAUUGGGACUGAGAUACGGACCAGACUCCUACGGGAGGCAGCAGUGGGGAAUAUUGCACAAUGGGCGGAAGCCUGAUGCAGCAACGCCGCGUGCGGGAUGACGGCCUUCGGGUUGUAAACCGCUUUCGCCUGUGACGAAGCGUGAGUGACGGUAAUGGGUAAAGAAGCACCGGCUAACUACGUG